rnacentral:rRNA from 1 species
UACGGAGGGGGCUAGCGUUGUUCGGAAUUACUGGGCGUAAAGCGCGCGUAGGCGGACCUGCAAGUCGGGGGUGAAAGCCCGAGGCUCAACCUCGGAACUGCCUUCGAUACUGCGGGUCUCGAGUCCGGGAGAGGUGAGUGGAAUUCCUAGUGUAGAGGUGAAAUUCGUAGAUAUUCGCAAGAACACCAGUGGCGAAGGCGGCUCACUGGCCCGAUACUGACGCUGAGGCACGAAAGCGUGGGGAGCAAACAGGG